rnacentral:rRNA from 1 species
GACGAACGCUGGCGGCGUGCUUAACACAUGCAAGUCGAACGAUGAACCUGGAGCUUGCUCCGGCGGAUUAGUGGCGAACGGGUGAGUAACACGUGAGUAACCUGCCCUUGACUCUGGGAUAACUGCGGGAAACUGUAGCUAAUACCGGAUACGACCCUCGGCGGCAUCGCCAGGGGGUGGAAAGAAUUUCGGUCAAGGAUGGACUCGCGGCCUAUCAGCUAGUUGGUGAGGUAACGGCUCACCAAGGCGACGACGGGUAGCCGGCCUGGGCGGGUGACCGGCCACACUGGGACUGAGAAACGGCCCAGACUCCUACGGGAGGCAGCAGUGGGGAAUAGUGCACGAUGGGCGCAAGCCUGAUGCAGCAACGCCGCGUGAGGGAUGACGGCCUUCGGGUUGUAAACCUCUUUUAGUAGGGAAGAAGCGAAAGUGACGGUACCUGCAGAAAAAGCACCGGCUAACUACGUGCCAGCAGCCGCAGUAA